UACGGGGGGGGGCAAGCGUUAUUCGGAAUUAUUGGGCGUAAAGGGCGCGUAGGCGGCUUUGCAAGUGGCGGGUGAAAUCCCUCGGCUUAACCGAGGAACUGCCUGUCAAACUGCAUGGCUUGAGACCAGGAGAGGUGAGUGGAAUUCCCAGUGUAGCGGUGAAAUUCGUAGAUAUUCGGAAGAACACCAGUGGCGAAGGCGGCUCACUGGACCGGUAUUGACGCUGAGGUGCGAAAGCGUGGGGAGCAAACAGG
rnacentral:rRNA from 1 species